rnacentral:rRNA from 1 species
UACGUAGGUGGCAAGCAUUAUCCGGAAUUAUUGGGCGUAAAGCGCGCGCAGGUGGUUUCUUAAGUCUGAUGUGAAAGCCCACGGCUCAACCGUGGAGGGUCAUUGGAAACUGGGAGACUUGAGUGCAGAAGAGGAAAGUGGAAUUCCAUGUGUAGCGGUGAAAUGCGUAGAGAUAUGGAGGAACACCAGUGGCGAAGGCGACUUUCUGGUCUGUAACUGACACUGAGGCGCGAAAGCGUGGGGAGCAAACAGG